GCCCUUGUUUCAUGCUUUAUGCUGUCUCUCCAUCAUUCUCAAGAAAUAUGGCUAGUGUGAUCAAUUUAUCCUGCUACCAUCAUCAUCAUAUUCAUCUUCUUAGUCCUAGGUUUUGCUCCUUAUCUUAUCAUCUUAGAAAAUUUUAUCUCAAUGUUUGGCUGUUUCUUGUCCCUGCCCCAUUUUGCUGUUUUUGCUUUGCCUGCCCAGACCUUUCUUGUUGCCCUUGCAUCCUUUGGUAUGUUUGUCUAGUUCUUAGACUUGCAGCAUCUAGCUGAUGUUGGGUAAAAUGUACUUUUUAUUUUUUUAGUUUGUUGAAAAUGUUAUUUUCGAUUUGUACUCAUUCUGUUUUUCUGUUUAGUAAUCAGACUAGAGUAAAUCAUAUCUGCUUUAUUUUACUGAUUUAGUAAUUCUUUACUGGACUUGUUUAUUCAGUUGCUGCUGAUUUCUGCAUUUCUCUUUUGAGGUAUUGGUUAAAUGCAGGGGGAAAUUAAUAUCCACCAACUUUUUACUGGCUAUACAAAUGGUCGUAGGGAUUGGCUUGCUUGGCCACAGAUAUUGAAAUUAAAAGAUUGGCCUCCUUCUAAUUUAUUUGAGGAACAAUUGCCUCGUCAUUGUGCUGAGUUCAUAUCUUCCUUACCCUUCAAGGAAUAUACUGAUCCUCACAAAGGUUCUCUUAACCUUGCUGUGAAGUUGCCUAAUGGUUCUCUAAAGCCAGACCUGGGGCCAAAAACAUAUAUUGCUUAUGGAUUUCCUCAGGAGCUUGGACGUGGUGAUUCAGUGACUAAGCUCCAUUGUGAUAUGUCUGAUGCAGUAAAUGCGUUGACUCAUAUUGCUGAAGUGAAACUGGAUUCUGAUCAACUUACUGUCAUUGAGAAGUUGAAGCAAAAGCAUCUCGAGCAAGAGAAAAGGGAGCUACUUGGUGAUGAUCAGGAUGGAGAAACUAAUGUUGACAUGCAUAAUAUAAUUCAUCUUCUACAAUAAAUGCUUUGGACAGGCAAACUAGUGUUGAAGUCAUGGAACAAGAAGGUGGAUUAUGUGAUGGGAAAGAAGUUGAUCAGUUUCAUCAACCGUCUGGUAGUAAUGAGGUUGCCAUUGCUAAUGAGGAUGGUAUUUCAUAUGGAUCAGAGCUCAUAGAGGUUGACAAAGUAAAAGUAAAUCAAGGUGAUUUGUUGUUUGGGGGGGAUGCUUCAGAUGGUGCUCUCUGGGAUAUUUUUUGGAGACAGGAUGUCCCUAAGUUGCAGGAAUAUCUGAAGAAGAAUUUCAGAGAGUUUAGGCAUGUCCAUUGCUGUCGUUUAAAGCAGGGAUGAUUGACUUUUGGAUGUAUAGGUCUUUACGCCUUUAUCUUAUUCUGCAAUGACUCUGUGAGAGAGGAAGAAUAAAAGGGAAUGGAAGUUUGGAAAAUUUUAGACUAGAAGAAAGCCAACUUAGAGUUGAGCUUUUUAAGAACAAAUUCUAUCUCAAAAUCAAUUAUAAGAUGAACAAGAUUUUUAAAAUUUAAAUAACCAAAUGGUCUAGAUCUAAAAAUAAGCUCUAUUUCACCUAGAUAUCUAGCUUUGAUGGUUGCCACCUUAGAUUUUGGGAAAUUUAAUUCAUGUACCAUAGAAAAAAGAAGAAAAUUAUUCAUUUGCCAGGUUAUUUCUAGUUGUUAUGUUUAUCUGUUGUAUUUGUCUGAAGUUUGUCCUUGUUAUGUUUGUCUCUUGUAUUAUCAGUUGGAUCAUGCCAAUGAAUUAUCAAACUCCCUGAAAGAAAGUGCCAAUAUUAACACUGUUUGGGCAUCGCUUAUUGUUGAAGAAUGCACAAGACUUGGUUUGAUGUAUUUGUGUAUUGCUCCUGGAUCUAGACCUUCCCCUGUUGCUGUUGCUGUUGCAAGUCACAAAUUAAUCACAUGUAUUUCAUGCUUCGAUGAGCGUUCACUUGCAUAUCAUGCUGUUGGAUAUGGAAGAGGAUCUCACAUUCCAGCAGUAGCCAUUACAUCAUCAGGCACUGCAGUUUCCAACCUUCUUCCUGCUGUAUGUUUCAUUAAUAUUGCUUGUUUUACAUGGAUGUCCUUAUUUUCAUGAAUUUAUUUUAGGGUAAAAUACAUUUUUGGUUCCCCUAUAAUGCUCAAUCUGCAAUUUUGGUCUCCUAGAUACUUUUAUUUUUCACUCAAUGUUUGACCAUGGAUAAUCAAUUAACGGUCAACUAACAGAAGAACCAAAAUCGCUGAUUUUGAAAAAUUGGGGGACUGAAUGUCUUGAUUUGGAAAUAGGGGGACCAAAAUUGCGGAUUGAGCAUUAUAGGGGACCAAUAGUGUAUUUUAGCCUUUAUUUUAUUUUGAAUGUGUGAUGAUUUAUUAAUUUCUUUCCUGUGACUUGGUUUGUUGUCAUUCUGAAUGCUGUUGCUAAUACAUGCAUUGUUGGAGUUCAAUUGGUUGCUUUGCUGGCUCUUUUUUUGCACUUAGUUUUUAUUUUUAUUUCCAUCAACUUGAUUUGUAGUUUUCUCUUUGAGUUUAAUUCCCCUCAAGGUUUGAAUUGUAAUUGCUUUUAGAGUUUAAUUCAAAUUCACUAACUAUGAUAAAAAUCUGAUCAUAAAUUAUCAAUUAUGAUAAGAGUAUUGAUUUUUAUAAUAAUUAUUUAAAAAUCGUAUCUAAAAUAAUUUUUUAGAAUAAAUAAUACAUAGUAAAUAAUUUAUGCACUGAAAUUUUAUAAAAACUUUUUACACUUUUAUUUAAUUAUAAAUUAUCAUAUAUAUUAAGUCUGUUAACUUUUAUAAUAAUUAAUUUAAUAAUUUUUUAUAUGUCAUCAUUUCUAGUUAGUUGAUUGAAAGUGUAAAAAACUUUUACACUAUUAUUUAAUCACAAACUGUCAUAUGUGUGAUAAAUUUAUUGAUAUUCAUGAUAAUUAUUAUUAAAGUUAUAUGAUAAAUAUUUCUAGUUGAUUGAUAAUAUAAUUUUCUUGCACAAACAAUGCACAUGCCUAUUAAUUAACUCAAUAUUAAAUUAAUUUACAAUUUUUUUUUUUACAUUUGACAGUAUAUCAAAAUAAAACUUAUGCUUUUAUACAAAAACAUGAGAUCCUUAAUGCACGUUGGUUUUAUAUUUUGUUAUAUUGUGUUCAUGUAUUUUUUUAUUUUUUUUUAUACAGUGUUCUUGUAUUCAAUAUACUUAAAAAUGAAACACUUUCAUGCAUUCAAGUAUACCAAACAAAAUUCCAACACUAUAUUUUGGAGAAAUAUGGUUUCAAUGUUUAUUCUUUUUCAAAUUUGUAAGAAGAAUUUAUUACUGUUUAUGGUUAAUAUGGGCUGAUAUAUAUUUUUCCUGUAGGGACUGCAACCUAAUCUACUAACUACUACUGAACUCUAAUGCAGGUCAAGUCUGAUCUGGCUAAAAAUAUCCAAUCAUUAGAACCAAACUCUAAAUGUUAUGUCUUGUAAUGAGUGAUUCUCUUACACUCUGAAGUAUAACAAUUUUACCUUAUAAGGGUUCAAUUCAAUCAAAGUAAAAUGGAAAGCGUUUCCUUAUUUAUCAAAUAUGCUUAUGUUUUGUAAUGUUCUUCUACUAAUAUGUGGCGAGCUUAAUCCAAAGUGAUCUUUCUUUUGGAACUAUCCAGUUGAAUAGCAGCAUAUUUUCAGCCUUGAACUUUAUAUUUUAUUUGUGACUGUUCUUCUUUAAGAGUGGUUUAUGAAUGUGGUAUUGAUAUUUGAUGCACGAUAACUGGCCUUCUGUCAGGUAAAGGUUCAACUUCUUAUUGCCAUUACUUUAAUAACAUUAAAUACUAAUUCUUUAGCCGCUCCCAGAUUGAGUUAGAUGAGCUGGAAAGUGUUUCCAUUCUGUCCAUGACCCUUGCAUGGGAUGAAUUUUCCUUCUCUACUUUUCAAGAAGCCCAUUAUUCGCUUCAAGAUUCUCUAGACCAGGUGCCUGACAUGCCUUUUUGAUAUCUUUUCUGUUUUGUUGUUUUAUUUACCAUCAUUCCCUGCUUCUAUCAUUUUUCAUGUAAUUUGGAAUAUUUAAAGUUAAAUGGUCAAUUCUUUUUUGUAUCAGUUUUUACACCUUUGUGAAUGAAAAAAGGGAAUCUUUCAUUAUGGUUUGGUUGGGCCUUUCUCUUUGUUUCCUAUAAUCUAGAGGAUCCUUAUCUUCUUCUUGGGUUCUGAAAAAAUAAAAACAUCUACUCCCUCCUGUAUUUAUGCUUGAUGUUAUUUCCUACGGUGUGGGUUAUGUGUCAUGUCUGGUCUACGAUUGACACAUGGAAAUCCAAAUGCACUAGAGCUGCCCUCAAAAAACUCAAUUUGGUAGAAGAUAGAUCUAUUCCAAGGGUACAAGCUCAUUUCUUUCCUAAGAAUAUGUAAGUUUUACUUGCAACUAGUUGUUACUUCCCUGAAUGCCAAUAUUUGUUUGACAUGUUUCUUUAGUUGAUAUUUGUCUUUUGCAUUUUCUUUUCCUUGGGUCUGGUUAAAUGUUAAUGCUCAAAAGGCUAUUUUCGUUAUUGUUGUAUUUUUUUGUAUUAUAUGCUAAUAUUUUAAGAUUUAAAUACAAUGCAGUGCAAACUAUAUUUGGGCCAAGCCCAUAUACUUUCAAUAGUCUAAUUCUAACUCAAUCCAUAAUAGCUCUUUAACAUUGUUCCCAAAUCCCAAGUUUGAGCUUAAAUAUUAAUCAUGCCUAGCUUGUUACAAAUGAAAUAACAGUGUUUUCCGGUCACAACCUUUGGCUAACAAUUUAUGGGUAAGCUUGUCUCCCUAAGGCAGGACCAUCAACCAUCUAGCAAUUCUUCAUUCCAGAGUCCAAAGAAGGUCAACUUGGUUGCUGCUCUGGUUCGUGGUAUGCUUGUUAAAGAUGCAUCGAUGCAGUUGGAAUCGACAAUAAAACGAGCAGCAAAAACUGUAUAUCAGGUUAAAGAGUUCCAUAGAAGAGAUGGUUUUGAGGUAGCAAGUGCUGACAAGAUGGCUAAGUCAUGCAUGGUUUAUUUUGAAAUGCAUCUAUCCCUAAGGAAAAAAAUAAUUACAAAAGCUUUUAAUGGUAGUUAUAGUAUCUACAAGGAAACUUUUUGUAACCAGGUCUAUUGCCUUUUUGUUUGAGUAACUGGACAUGCAGGUACAAUAAUUGUUGUUGAAGAUGACAAGGGACCUGAAAGAGGAAUGCCGAGCUUCAAUUCUGAGUUACCCAAUUCCAAUUCAUGGGUUGAGGAUGUUACAAGAGUUUGGGAUCCUUGCUGACCAGUGACUAGGGUUGAGGAUUUUACCAAGAGUUGAAGACCGUUGCUGUUA